UCCUGAUAAAAAUUAUACUAAUGAGGCUGUAAAAAUAGAACGUCCUAAUGAGGUGCUAAUGAUAAAAGAACCGAACGGAACAGUAUAUAUUGAAUUUAAUCUUAUCAAAAUGAAAAUUUGUGCAUUGAGAAUGUUUUGUCACUAGAUUCAAUAUAUUCUAUAUCUAAACUAUUAUAUACACCUCUAAAUAGGAGAGGCUGUAAGGUUGCGGUAUGGUUUGAGUCCAUAGGAAUAGUAGGAUGUAAAUAUAUAUUUAUAUUUAUAUUUAUCAUAUACUUAUUUUAGCUUAUCUUGAAAAAGCAAAUAAAUUUUGCGAAAGCUCGAUAAUAACAAAGAGUUUUAUUUAUCCUGCCCCUAAAAAAUAAGUGACUACAACCCCAAAA
rnacentral:lncRNA from 1 species